GGCAGUUCUUAGCUCAGUCAUAGAGCAUCUGCUUUGAAUGCAGAAGGUCCCAGGUUCAAUCCCCAGGAUCUCCA